UAUGGGUUCUCUUGCAACAUUUUUUGCUCACUAGGUCAGGUUCGGAAGGAAGCAGCCAAAGUAAAAUAUAUGUGUGUGAGAUGUAGCUGAUAGGG
rnacentral:SRP_RNA from 1 species